UACGUAGGGUGCAAGCGUUAAUCGGAAUUACUGGGCGUAAAGCGUGCGCAGGCGGUUUUGUAAGUCUGACGUGAAAUCCCCGGGCUCAACCUGGGAAUUGCGUUGGAGACUGCAAGGCUAGAAUCUGGCAGAGGGGGGGUAGAAUUCCACGUGUAGCAGUGAAAAUGCGUAGAGAUGUGGAGGAACACCGAUGGCGAAAGGCAGCCCCC
rnacentral:rRNA from 1 species